rnacentral:rRNA from 1 species
UACGAAGGGGGCUAGCGUUGCUCGGAAUGACUGGGCGUAAAGGGCGCGUAGGCGGUUUGUACAGUCAGGUGUGAAAUUCCCGGGCUCAACCUGGGGGCUGCACUUGAUACGUAGGAACUGGAGUGGGGAAGAGGGUCGUGGAAUUCCCAGUGUAGAGGUGAAAUUCGUAGAUAUUCGGAAGAACACCAGUGGCGAAGGCGACAUACUGGGUCAUGACUGACGCUGAGGCUCGAAAGCGUGGGGAGCAAACAGG